UGGGGAAUAUUGCACAAUGGGCGAAAGCCUGAUGCAGCGACGCCGCGUGAGGGAAGAAGGUUUUCGGAUUGUAAACCUCUGUCCUCAGGGAAGAAAAUGACGGUACCUGAGGAGGAAGCCACGGCUAACUACGUGCCAGCAGCCGCGGUAAUACGUAGGUGGCAAGCGUUGUCCGGAAUUACUGGGUGUAAAGGGAGCGUAGGCGGGACGACAAGUUGAAUGUUAAAAUUAUGGGCUUAACCCAUAAGUGCGUUCAAAACUGUCGUUCUUGAGUGAAGUAGAGGCAGGCGGAAUUCCUAGUGUAGCGGUGAAAUGCGUAAAUAUUAGGAGGAACACCAGUGGCGAAGGCGGUCUGCUGGGCUUUAACUGACGCUGAGGCUCGAAAGCGUGGGUAGCAAACA
rnacentral:rRNA from 1 species